rnacentral:rRNA from 1 species
UACGUAGGGUGCAAGCGUUGUCCGGAAUUAUUGGGCGUAAAGGGCUCGUAGGCGGUCCAUCACGUCGGGAGUGAAAAGCUGGGGCUUAACCCCAGUCCUGCUUCCGAUACGGGUGGACUAGAGGUAGGUAGGGGAGAACAGAAUUCCUGGUGUAGCGGUGAAAUGCGUAGAUAUCUGGAGGAACACCGGUGGCGAAGGCGGCAUCCUGGACCGAUACUGACGCUGAUGAGCGAAAGCCAGGGGAGCAAACGGG